rnacentral:lncRNA from 1 species
AUGUUAUGGUCGCAGCGCUCUCUGCCAUAUGUGUUGGUGGAACGCUUAGGAGUCUCGCUCCGCAGUAAACGCAAACCGUGCCAGGCUGGAAGACCGCGGCCCGCGCGGCGAGGUGCAGGGCUGCGGCGCCGGGGCCGGGGGCCGGGGGCCGGGGGGCCGGGGGGCCGGGGGCGCUCCCCGGAACAAAGGCACGAUCCUGAGGCCGUUUCGCGGGCCGUCCCCCCUCCCCCCACCCCAGCGCCAGCUUUGUCUCCUCGCGCGUGCGAGGCUGAGACUCGGAGGAGCCCCCGAGCCGGAGGGGCCGGCGUGGGAAGCUGCCCCGGCCGCCGCUGCGGUUUCCUGCAGCGCGACGAGCCCUUAGAGGAAGUGGGAGGGCCGCGCGGGGCUACCUGCAGCCCGCCGAGCGGGGCUGGACCUGAACCCCGCGCCCCCGGGGCCGUCGUGCGCCGGGGCCCAGGCGGCUGGGAGGGCGGGGGGCUCGGCGCCCCGGCUGCGCGGAGGAGCUGGGGUCCCGGCCCAGCUGGGCCUCGCGCGCGCAGCCCCGCCGCCGGGCCCUCCCCCCGCGCCCCCCGCCGCCCCCGCCCCCGCCUCCGCCCCCGCCGCCCCCGCGCGCCGGCACUGGCUCGCGCAGGCCUCCUGCCCGGCCGUGGGCGGGGGGGCGAAGCCCGCGGGAGGCGCCCCGCCCCGCCCCGCCCCGCCCCUGCCCCGCCGCGCGCAGUCUCUCCCCCUGCCCGCCGGGGCGGUGGCGGUGGCGCUGCUGCUGCCGCGCGGCCUGCGAGGCCGGCACUCCCCUCCGCCCGGCUCCCUGCUCCUCCUUUCUCUCCCUCCCUCCCUCCCCCUCCCCGCCCCUCCCGCCCCUCCCGCCCCUCGCAGGCUCGCCAGCCCGAGCGAAGGUGGCGCGGCGGCGCGGGACGCAGCCUCGGCCCCCGCCGCGGCCCCGCGAGCCCGAGAGGACCCCCGCGCCCCGCCCCCCCGCCCCCCGCGGCCCCCCGCGCCGCCCGGGGGCGCCCCCGCCGCGGCCGCCCGGAGGAAGCGCGAGCCGGGGAGCGAGGGGCCGGCGGCGGGAAGCCGGGAGAGGGAGGAGAGCGCGGCUCGAGGGCCCGCCCGCCGCGGCGCCGAGAGGGACGGACGGAGGGACGGACGGACGGACGGACGGCGGCCGGGGACGGGAGGGGCGGGGCGGGGAGGGGGCCGCCCGCGAGCUCGCCCGGCCCCUCGGCGGCGGCCCCGGGGCGGCGGCGGGCGGAGGGCGCGGCGGGCGCUGUCGAGACAAUAACCCGGAGCCGGAGGCCUAGCGCGGCCGGGACCCCGCGCCCCGCGCCCCCCGCGCCCCCCUGCCCCCCCCGGCCC